rnacentral:tRNA from 1 species
GGCUCUGUAGUGAAAUUCAUAGUGAGUUGCAAGCUCAUUGAUGUGCAUUAGACGUGUACCGGAGUCU